CGUUUGAGGUCGUGACAUGAGUGUGAGCUUCAGGGACAGCUUUUGCCAGCCCGAAAUCUGCAAUUCGGGCUUCCAUCUCGUCAUCCAGCAGCACGUUUGCAGGUUUCAAGUCUCUGUGGAUAAUGCGAGGGUUGUGAUGCAUAUGAAGGUACUCCAGCCCUGCUGCCACCCCUACUGCGAUCUUGUAUCGUGCCGCCCAAUCCAAUUCUCGUUUUCCUUCUGAUACUAAUUUCAUAUAGUCUUGCAGGCUGCCAUUCUUCAUGUACUCAUACACCAGGUAAUGGCAAUUGGGCCGUGGCAGAUAAGCUAGCAGGGAGAGCAAAUUCCGGUGGCGGAUUUGGCCCAUGGUUUGAAUCUCAGACCUAAUCUGCCGCAUUUUCUUGUUUAACAGCUUGCUGUCUUCUUCAUUCACCCCGCCCUCUGCAUCUGAAGGCAGUUGAACUAUCUUCUUGAUCGCGAUUUCCUUCCCGUCACUUCCAGGUAAAGCAGCUCUGUAAACUUCCCCACAGCCACCUCUCCCUAUAAUAUCAAGUGAUUGUAAUCCAUCAUCAUUUUCCAGAAACGCCAAGUCCUCGGGCUUCUUGAUCAUCGCGCUGAAAAUCUUCAAGCUCGUGUCUUUUGUGUGUGCUCGGAUUAAGCGCAGCAACAGCUUGAAAACCAUGGAGAAUACCAAUCCAGACAGACAGCCUGCUAGAAUCCCAGCCAUAA
rnacentral:lncRNA from 1 species